GGGCUAGUGGCGCAAUUGGACGAGACGCGGGAGACUUAAAAUCUCUUACAGAUUAAUGAUCACACUAUGGGUUCGAGUCCCAUCUGGCCUA
rnacentral:tRNA from 1 species